UACAGAGGUCCCAAGCGUUGUUCGGAUUCACUGGGCGUAAAGGGUGCGUAGGUGGUCAGGUAAGUCUGAUGUGAAAUCUCUGAGCUCAACUCAGAAAUGGCAUUGGAUACUAUCUGGCUAGAGGGUCGGAGGGGGGACUGGAAUUCUCGGUGUAGCAGUGAAAUGCGUAGAUAUCGAGAGGAACACCAGUGGCGAAGGCGAGUCCCUGGACAAUACCUGACACUGAGGCACGAAAGCUAGGGGAGCAAACAGG
rnacentral:rRNA from 1 species